rnacentral:rRNA from 1 species
UUCUGUAAGCCUGUGAAGGUGAGUUGAGAAGCUUGCUGGAGGUAUCAGAAGUGCGAAUGCUGACAUGAGUAACGACAAUGGGUGUGAAAAACACCCACGCCGAAAGACCAAGGGUUCCUGCGCAACGUUAAUCGACGCAGGGUUAGUCGGUUCCUAAGGCGAGGCUGAAAAGCGUAGUCGAUGGGAAACAGGUUAAUAUUCCUGUACUUCUGGUUACUGCGAUGGAGGGACGGAGAAGGCUAGGCCAGCUUGGCGUUGGUUGUCCAAGUUUAAGGUGGUAGGCUGAAAUCUUAGGUAAAUCCGGGGUUUCAAGGCCGAGAGCUGAUGACGAGUCGUCUUUUAGAUGACGAAGUGGUUGAUGCCAUGCUUCCAAGAAAAGCUUCUAAGCUUCAGGUAACCAGGAACCGUACCCCAAACCGACACAGGUGGUCGGGUAGAGAAUACCAAGGCGCUUGAGAGAACUCGGGUGAAGGAACUAGGCAAAAUGGCACCGUAACUUCGGGAGAAGGUGCGCCGGCUAGGG